rnacentral:rRNA from 1 species
UGGGGGAUCUUAGACAAUGGGCGCAAGCCUGAUCUAGCCAUGCCGCGUGAUCGAUGAAGGCCUUAGGGUUGUAAAGAUCUUUCAGCUGGGAAGAUAAUGACUGUACCAGCAGAAGAAGCCCCGGCUAACUCCGUGCCAGCAGCCGCGGUAAUACGGAGGGGGCUAGCGUUGUUCGGAAUUACUGGGCGUAAAGCGCACGUAGGCGGACCAGAAAGUUGGAGGUGAAAUCCCAGGGCUCAACCUUGGAACUGCCUUCAAAACUCCUGGUCUUGAGUUCGAGAGAGGUGAGUGGAAUUCCGAGUGUAGAGGUGAAAUUCGUAGAUAUUCGGAGGAACACCAGUGGCGAAGGCGGCUCACUGGCUCGAUACUGACGCUGAGGUGCGAA